rnacentral:lncRNA from 1 species
CUGCUGCCCGGCCAGCGGGCCAAAUGGCCACACGGGAAGGAGGGACAGAGGAGAAAAUAGUAGGCAAAGUGUUGGCGUGAGGCAGGUGGUGGAUGAGGCAGUCGCAAAGAGAAAGGAUUGCAACAUCAGGGAGGAGAUGAAAGGCCUCAUAUCAUUUUGCAGCCAACAAGAAACCUGAAGGAACUAAGUUUGGCUCUAUUUCUACAGCUUGUGAAAAGCUGAGAAUGGAAGCAAUGACUGGGCUAAUUCUGGACAAAAUUUUUUAAAAUGAUUUUUGUCAGAGGAGCCCAGAUCUUUGCCUCAAUUCUUUGCUUUUGUCUAAAUUGCUCAUUUUUCCAAAUUUCUGUAAGUAAUUUUUUAGGUGAUGUGAAUUGAUUUGCCUUUGGUAUACCGGACAAGAUUUUAUUUUAUUUUAUUAUUUUAUUUUUGAGACGGAGUUUCGCUCUUGUUGCCCAGACUGGAGUGCAGUGGUGUGAUCUCAACUCACUACAACCUCUGCCUCCCGGGUUCAAGCGAUUCUCCUGCCUCAGCCUCCUGAGUAGCCGGGAUUACAGGUGCCCGCCACCACACCGAGCUAAUUUUUGUAUUUUUAGUAGAGAUGGGGUUUCACCACGUUGGCCAGGCUGGUCUCAAACUCCUGACCUCAGGUGAUCCAUCUGCCUCAGCCUCCCAAAGUGCUGGGAUUACAGGUGUUAGCCACCGUGCCCAGCCUGGACAAGAUUAUUUGAGACAUCUCUGGUGGCCUAAAUCGUGAAGGGUUUGCCCCCUGUUUCCUUUUGUCCACUUUCCUCAUAGUGCCAUUUUGUUUUGUGCCUUCACUCAGCCUGAACUGGCUGGUGAAAGUGGCACAGCCAACUGUUGCCAGACAGUGAUGUCCUGUCAAAUUCCUGUACCUGCAUGGGUACGUUCUCAUGUUCUCUGAAAUAUUAUUCCUUUCCCUUAACAGAGCUCACCAGACAAGAAACAGAAAAGUGUUUUGAGUACUUUGAAUCAAAAGUGGUCUCUGAAUUUAAGGCAUUUUUAUUAUUUUAUGUGUUAUUUGUAGUUCAAAAGGGUCUUCCUAUUCAUCAUAGUAUUAGAGGCAUUUGAUGGAAAAGUAGUGUGCCAAGGUGAUUAGUGACAACAACAACAAAAGCAACUUAUUUUUGAGCCUGUGAAAGGCCCUCUUCUAGACACUUUAUACAACAGCUGUAUCCUUAUUGAUAGCCCUGCAAGGUAAGUAUCAUUUUUCCCAUUGUGGAGAAGUACUGAAUCUCGGGAGGGUACUGGGCCAAGGUCACCAGCCAAUCAGUGACAGAUAGGAAAUUCAAACCUAGGUUUGUUGGGUUCUUUCUACUAUACCAGGCAACACCAUUUGUAAAUGUGAACUCAUUCUGAGCAUCAAAGGACAAUUGGCUUUACUUUGAAGAAACUCAAUUCCAUAUUGGUUUCAGUUAUUUUAACAAAUUCAACAUGCUUAAUUAUCUCAGAAUUUUUACAGAAUAGUAAUUGUUAAUUCCCUGGUAGAAUUAGGCUUGCCUGCAACUAUUUUUAAUUCCUUAACAUCUUCUAGGUAUUCCACUUGACCCGAUGCUUUUCCUUGAUGUGGUCUGGAGAAUGUGAUCUAUAGAAACAAUGUAUAAGAAUAUCCUGGCCGGUGGCUCACACCUGUAAUCCCAGAACUUUGGGAGGCCGAGGCGGGUAGAUCACGAGGUCAAGAUAUCGAGACCAUCCUGGCCAACAUUGUGAAACCCUGUCUCUAUCAAAAAUACAAAAAUUAGCUGGCCAUGGUGGCGCAUGCCUGUAGUCCCAGCUUCUCGGGAGGCUGAGGCAGGAGAAUCGCUUGAACCCAGGAGGCAGAGGUUGCAGUGAGCCGAGAUCGCACCAGCCUGGGGGACAGGGCAAGACUCUGUCUCAAAAAAAAAAAAAAUAUCCUGACUUUCUUUAUAGGCACAUAAAUAAAUAAGGAAAGAAUCUUUUCCCCAACCCUGAGGAGAUAGGCAGUACCACUAUAUAGCAGGCUUGCAUGCAUGCAAACUUUGAAAGCAAUCAUUGAACAAAGCUUGGGCAAGGUUAUGGUGAAUAAGAAAGAGAACAAAGUUCAUGAAGAGGUGCGAAGAAAACAGGAAAAAAGCUAUUUUCCAAGAAGAAAAAGAAAAUGGAAGUACAAAUUUCCAACAGCACACAUUUUCUCUGCUCUCUCCUUGGCUCUGAAAGAGGAUGCGUGAAACAGAAUUUCAGGCUGUAAUUAAUGCAGCUCUUCAUAAGAUAAGAGGUUCUUUUAUCUACAGAAAAAUUGCUGCACUAAUUCCCAACAAGAAGUGCAAUGCUCCGGUUAAUGCUCUUUCUACAAGAAGAAUUCACCUUUUCUACCCUCUACAUAUUUACAGACAAAUUUGAAUAUUUUGUUAUGGGAAACUGAAGAUGGGUAAACAUACAAUGAUAAUAGUACUUUAUAGGGCUAAAUCUAAAAGCCUUAAAGAUUAAUAUUAUGUUUGGAUAAAUGCUGAAUAAGUUUACAUAAAGAAUUUUCAAAUAACAUUGACGCUACAGGCAUGUACUUGUAAGCACAGACCUUAAUUGGGCACAACUUAGAUCCAGCACUCUUUGAGGGGGAGAAUAAACAAAUUGGGAAAUGCAUCCUCAUUUGAUACAGUGAGGAAAAAGAGCUAUGGUUCCUUGCUCUGCUUUAAAGUACUGUCCAAAGAAGGAUGAAGCCCCGCUAUUUCAUUUUGAUUUAAAUAUUUCCUUGUAGAAUGCACAUUCCAAUUUGGAAACAAUACUUUCUAUAUGUAUGUUUCAUGUAUGUGCUUGGAAUAAUUGGUAAUGUGUUGGCACUGUGUUCCACUUAAAUGCAUGGCAUUUGUAUACUAUUUAAUGUUUUGUUGUUGUUGUUGUUUUUGAGAUGGAGUCUCAGUCUGUUGCCCAGGCUGGAGUGCAAUGGUGUGAUCUAGGCUCACUGCAACCUCUGCCUCCCGGGUUCAAGCAAUUCUCCUGCCUCAGCCUCCUGAGUAACUGGGAUUACAGGCGCCUGCCACCACGCCUGGCUAAUUUUUUUUUUUUUUUUUUUUUUUUUUUUUUUUUUUUUUUUUAGUAGAGAUGGGGUUUCUCCAUGUUGGCCAGACUGGUCUUGAACUCCUGAACUCAGGUGAUCCACACACCUUGGCCUCCCAAAGUGCUGGGAUUACAGGCGUGAGCCACUGCACCGGCCUUUUAAUGUUUUCUUAAAAACCAGUUUUCUAAGAAAAAAAGAAGAAUGGGAAUACAGCAAAUGAGUAGAAGACAGAGAUCACAAGAAUCGUGCCUGAGGUCCUGGCAAAGAAGACCCCACUAUCUCAGCUCAAGAAGUCAGAACCCAUAGGUGAAAUUGUAGGGAUAACACCAGCUCAGUGUAAAGAAUUUCCAACAUAAACAGCUACUGCAUAACAGAAUGAACUGCCAUGGAAGAAUACAACAUCCAGUCAAGGCAUGUAGUCAAGGAAGAGCAGAUAACCAUCUGCAAGAGGAUUUCAACACUGGACCAGACAGUCCUAUAGUAAGUUGAAGUCUAAGACCCUAUAAUUAUGUGAUAUUGGAGAUUUAAUGUUUACAAUAUUAUUGUCAUUCCAUCUGGUUCCUGGUACUAAGUCUUUGUUUUUUGUUUUGUUUGUUUGUUUUUCUUUUGGAAACAGGGUCUCGCUCUGUCACCCAGGCUGAAGUGCAGUGGCAUGAUCUUGGCUCACUGCAGCCUCAACCUCCCAGGCUCAAGCAAUCCUCCCACAUCAGCCCCCCAAGUAGCUGGGACUACAUCCAUAUGCCACCAUGCCUGUUUAAUUUUUGUAUUUUUUGUAGAGAUGUGGUUUCACCAUGUUGCCCAGGCUGGUCGCGAACUUCUGAGCUCAGGCAAUCCACUCACCUUGGCCUCCCAAAGUGCUGGGAUUAUAGGCAUGAGCCACUGUGCCUGGCCUGUGGUACUAAGUCUUCCCUGACAUUUUGUCAGUAAAGGUCAAAGUCACUGGAAAUGGUCACUGCACCUAACCUAAGUGUCAGUUUCCUGAUCUAUAGAGUAGAGGAUUUGAUGAAUUUAUCUCUAGAAUUCUGUCUACUUCUAGUCAGAUUCUUCACUGACAUGAAGUCACCACUGUGUAUCUACCUUACUAACCUUUUUUGGUUAACAUGUGGGAAAUUUAAUAAAUUCCUGACAUUUUUCAACAACAUUUAUAACCUUUGGGGAUCAGUUCAUUUUCACCAAUUCAAUUUUAGUCAUCUUGAUUGCUUUUGUCAGAGGGGAAAAAUAAUGUCACAUAAUUAAAAUAAUAAAUAACCUCCC